rnacentral:rRNA from 1 species
UACGGAGGGGGGCUAGCGUUGUUCGGAAUUACUGGGCGUAAAGCGCACGUAGGCGGACUGUUAAGUCGGGGGUGAAAUCCUGGGGCUCAACCUCAGAAUUGCCUCCGAUACUGGCAGUCUCGAGUGCGGGAGAGGUGAGUGGAAUUCCCAGUGUAGAGGUGAAAUUCGUAGAUAUUGGGAAGAACACCAGUGGCGAAAGGCGGCUCACUGGCCCGUAACUGACGCUGAGGUGCGAAAGCGUGGGGAGCAAACAGG